rnacentral:tRNA from 1 species
GGGAAGUUGGCUCAAUGGUAGAGUGUUUGCCUCACAUGCAAGAGGCCAUGGGUUCGAUUCCUCAGCAUCACA